rnacentral:rRNA from 1 species
ACUCCUACGGGAGGCAGCAGUGGGGAAUAUUGGACAAUGGGCGCAAGCCUGAUCCAGCCAUGCCGCGUGGGUGAAGAAGGCCUUAGGGUUGUAAACCCCUUUCAGCGGGGAAGAUAAUGACGGUACCCGCAGAAGAAGUCCCGGCUAACUCCGUGCCAGCAGCCGCGGUAAUACGGAGGGGACUAGCGUUGUUCGGAAUUACUGGGCGUAAAGCGCACGUAGGCGGAUUUGUAAGUCAGGGGUGAAAUCCCGGGGCUCAACCUCGGAACGGCCUUUGAUACUGCAAAUCUCGAGUCCGGAAGAGGUGAGUGGAAUUCCUAGUGUAGCGGUGAAAUGCGUAGAGAUC